rnacentral:rRNA from 1 species
UAAUACGGAGGGUGCAAACGUUGCUCGGAAUCAUUGGGCGUAAAGCGCACGUAGGCGGCGAAGCAAGUUGGGUGUGAAAGCCCUGGGCUCAACUCAGGAAGUGCAUUCAAAACUGCUUCGCUUGAAUCUCGGAGGGGGUCGGAGAAUUCCCGGUGUAGAGGUGAAAUUCGUAGAUAUCGGGAGGAAUACCAGUGGCGAAGGCGCUGACCUGGACGAAGAUUGACGCUGAGAUGCGAAAGCGCGGGGAGCAAACAGG